rnacentral:lncRNA from 1 species
CUAUGCAAAUAAAUCAAAAUAUUGAAGUUUGAAGACUCUUGUUUUUUAAAUCAAGAAACCGAGUGUCGUCUUUUUCUCUGAAACAAGAAACGGCUCUCAGUACUUGCCUUUCCCUUCAAAGAAGGUUUAAGACUAGCGAAGCUGAAAAGAGAAUUGAGUUUGCUUAUCUUUUUAGCAAAAGACUUGAAAAGCUUAGUCCCUGGAUUAGUUUUAACGAGUUCUUGUCUAAUAGAGAUGUGAUCUUUCUCUAGAUCCGUUAAUCUCAUCCUCAUCCUCGCCACUUCAAGCUUUAACUCUCUGUUUUCUCUCCUCACUGACGCAUAGUUAUCUCUUGGUGAUAUCGCUCCACUUCCUUGUGAUCCAAGCCAACCAAACAAACAACCAUGAAUUAGCAUAGACGAAUAAAGGCUAAAUCAUACUAUAUACUCCCUCUAUUUAUCAAAGAAAGUCAUUUUUGAAACAUUUAAGGCGGAUUAAAAAAAAUACAAAAUACACUAAUAUUUUUAUUUAAUUUACGAUUAAUUAAAUGGUAAUAAUUUAAUUAAAAAUCUAUUGGUCAUUUAAAAGAGAAAAAUAGAUUUAAUAUGUAAAAUCACAUUGGAAAUGUAUUAAAAAAAUGAUAGUUUUUGUGAAACAUGAGUAUAGAAAGACUAUACAUUAUACAAUGCUGAGGGGUUAUGAAGUAAAAUUACCUGCUCCACUUCCUCCCCGUUGGGGAAACUGAUGACAGUUACCACUGAAUAGAAACUGAGUAGGACUAAUGCUACUGCUCAUUGCGUUUCUGAGUCUAAUCUGCUCAAAGUACAACACUUGUACCGCCAUUUGCACUGGUAACCUCUCGUUUUGCGCUGCAUGGCUACAAGCUUCUUGUGACAGUUUCUGUGAAUCUAUCGUCUUACAAAGUCGGUAGCGCUCUGAAUCCUUUAUAUUCGGAUGUACCUAUCAAAAAUAAAUAAAACCAAUAUUCAAAAUAUCUUUAGACAUAACUAAACGUUUCGAUACUAGGUGUAUUCCUCCGAUUAUAAGUAGGACCUAGUCGUAAACAAAUUAGAUGUUUUAAUUUUAAGUUUAAUUAUAAAAUUAUUUUGAUGAAUUAUAAAAUUUAUAUAUACACAAAAUAAUAAAUUAGAUAAACUUGUGCAUUUAAAUUACAUUUAUUGGUUGGUUUGAUAUAUUUAGACAUAUUUAGAUGUGCACAAAAAGACCAAUGUAGAUUAAUUAAAACAUAUUAAACUAAUUUUAACCGGUUUUGAACGGUUUAAACCGUGGUGAGGCGCAUUAAUAAGAAAAUCGUUUCAGUUACAACCGACUUAAGUGGCCUCAACCCAUUUAUAAAACAUUAAAUAAAACAAUAUGUGAACUGGCUAAUUUAUAAAAUGAGAGAAAGGUUCAAGAGGUUUUUACUUUGAGGUAAAUGUCAACGGCUCGAUAAAGACCAUCACUGAUGAUACGAGCAUGAUCUGGCAAGAGCUCAGCUAAAGCUAUGAACUUCGACGUUGUUAGAUUCGUAUCCAAAGCUAUCUCCGCUAGAUAGUUAUCCAUCAGCUUCGAUACUUUCAAGAUCGAGCUCUGUUUUGGAGAUCCAGGACUGUCGAAAUCGAAAAUCAUCUCUGUUUCAUCACCAAACCGGUUACGAUGAUGUCGAUCUUCUUCUUCAUCAUCGUCUUCUUCGUCUAGAUUCAAGAAUAUAGAGAAGAUUCUCAAGAUAGAAUCAAUGUCGUACAUCGUGUUGUUGACUCCGUUAGGGCUUGUCGGAAUCAAGACAUCUUCGAGGAUGGCUUGGUCUAGCUGAAGACCGAUCCUUCGCUCUAAAUCUGAUCGACAUGAUCUUAUAGAAGCAGAGGAUGAUGAUGUUGCGAUAACCAUUUUGAGAAGACUUGAAAGAAACGCUAUUGGAACAGAGCUUUUUCUUCCUUGCGUGGGAAGUAACCUAACGAUUGUUUCUACAAUCAUUCUCUGUUUCUUCUUUGCUUCUGAAUCGAUAACCCUUUCUUUGUCAAGCUUUGUAUCCCUAACUAUUAGCCCUUGAAGUGACUUAUUCGUGUAACUGAUGAGAAUCUUGCUGAUCACGUCUUGUCUUAACCCUUUUGACCUAACCGCAGAGACAACUCUCUGGAAGAACUCAAGAUUCAAAACAGCUACCGACUUCCCCCACCAGUCUAGUGGAGUCUCUGGCUCCAUAUUCGCACCCGAAAACGUAUAAUCGAGCUUUAAUAGACCCGAGGUGAGCUGCUCUUUGCAGGCGUUGUUGGCGAUUGCUAUGACCAAACGGUUCACCAAGUUGAGAUCUUCAGAGACUGGUGUAAGGGCUUCACAGUGAUGUAGAACGAGUAUGGAGUUAGAGAUACUUGGGAGGACCGUUUCUUUGAAGUAAUGUUCUGUUUUGAUAGCGAGAUUGUCCUCUGAGAAGUCCUCAGCCAUCUCUAGGUAAUGAGAUGCACAACGAAGCUUAGCUACGUUGAGAAGGUUGAUCUCAAUGUUGAUUCCAUAGCAGAACUUAGCUGCUAGCUCAAAGGCCUCAGAUCCUCCAGGAACACUCGAGAGACAUAUGUUGAAGGUUUUGGAAUCUGUAAGAAGCUUCCUGAUCUUUCCACUCCGAGAAACAAGAGGAAACUGAGAACACCAAACCAACAAGCAAAAAAAGUUCAAAACUAUAUAACUCAAGAAACAGAGGAUCCUCUGUUUUGGUAUAGAUGCUCUGUUUUUAGGUUUUGUGUUUGCUUAUUUUUACCUUAUGAAGACAGAAACUUGAAGAUCCAACUUGAACUGUAAGAUCACUAGAGACUUCAGAUAUUGGCCUGCAAGAACACAUAAACAAACCCAUUAAGAUUCUGAAGAUUUUUCAAUAAUGAUUUUCUGAAUUAUUGAAGCAAAAGAUCUGUGUGGACUUGAAUUUGAUGAUCAUGUAAGAGCUGCUUGUGUCUUCCAUGACUCCAACGCUAAGAUUCUAGGAUAAGGAAACAGUAAAAUCUAUCAUCUAAAAUAGUGUGUGUGUUUUCCUUGGUUUUGAGGCCAUUUUUAGAUUCACAGUUGAGACAUGUAAAAGGUUAUGUCAACAUCAAACUUUUCAAAUGAAGACAGAACCAAAUGAAGUGUGAUUGUACGGAUAUGUUCCACAUAGAUACAAAAUAGGAUGGAGAAAUUAUUGGUUUUUGAUGAACAGUGAGAGAUUGUGACAAUAAAUGACUUGUGGCUACAGAGAUUCACAUCACAUACAAAAAGAUUUGGAUCUUUAUUAGCUAAAUUUUUCAUGGGAAAGAACAAAUCUCUUAUUCGUUUUUCUGACAUGUUUCUAGUGAAUGCAGACAAAACUAAAAUGGUAAUCAUAAAUUACAAUACUAUAUAUAUUACCAUUCAGAGGCAUGUCUGAUGCUUGAGUUCAGACGAAACCCUCUCUUUCCUGUGAAAGUUGGCUUCACUUCUCCUACUGUAGAAAGUCCCAUCUCUCUCUCUUCACAGAAGAAGAAGAAGAAGAGCUCUUGUGGUUGUUAUUACAAGGAGUGUACGUAGUUAAUGAUGCAAAAAGGUACAGAAAAAAAGAGUUUUGAUAUCUUUGGUUAAUUAAUCUGUUAAUUACGUGUAAAGCUGAGGUCAUUAUUAUGAUACAUGAAAUUAAGUUAGUGAAAACAAAUGCAUGUAUAUACAUUAAUUGCUACUAGUGUUCUUUGAUGUAUGAGAUGCAUUUCAAUCUCAUUAUUAUGGGCUAAGGCAUCUAUUUUUCUCUUGUUGAUCCUGUGGUAAUUGUAAUGAUUACUUAUAAUUUCAUGAUUAUGUCCACUCUUGGUUGCCUUCAACUAACCGAAAUUAAUUUUUCAUUUUACAUUCUCUGCUCAAAAAAUUAUUGAUAAACUAUUUAAAACCUAUUUACAAACAAUACCAUACUGAAACGAUUUUUAACAGCAAAAAGUUAACACUAAAUUAUUUUAUUGCAUAGUGUUUUAUCUACUAAUGUGAUAAUAUCCAGUGGUGGUUUUUUUUUUGUAAUGCAAAAUUCUAUUUAUAAAUUUUAUAAGAGGAUAUGUAUUGUGUCAUGUGAAUUAUUUGGCGAGACCAAGCUUUAAGCUCACUCCAUGCUUUAAUUUUUGAAUAUGUAUUGUUUAAUGUGUGGUCCAAAAAAAUGUUAGAUGAUUUCUUGCUUUGGUUAUGAAAAUGAAAGAAAUAAAGAAUUAGAAAAGCUGUAGUGAUUCCUAGUGAUUACACCGAUUGAGAUUUAUACUUAGCUUUAAGGCUGUGUUAAUGUGUUAUGUAAUGAUGUUAGGCUGAUCGAUUAAUCUCGAGCCCCUCGAAACAUAAUAUAUAAUUUUAUGGUAAUUAUGAAAAAUUAAUCUAUUGUUGGAUUAGUUACAUUACGUAUGAAUAUAUGAUAAGCUUUUUGUGAGUUUGAUUGUGCAAGGUUGACCAAUAGAUUAGUGAUAAAAAAAAAUUAUCACAAGAUAUAGUGGUAUUAAAAAAAAAACAGUUUACCAAACAAAACAGUGAUUUUUUUAGUACUAAUUGUUGGCUAAGAUUGGUUGGUUCUGUCAGAAUGUAUAAUAGUCCAUCGAAAAUGUAAAGCUGUUAAAAGAUUUGGACUCAAAUGCAAACAAAAAAAAAACAAAUUUUGUGACGGCGCGUCAGGCUCCGAGCAUUAUCUGAUCCUCUUCUUCCUCCUCGGUUCGCGUAUUCGAAUCUCUUCAACGGGAGCUCCAAGCUUCUAAUGGAAAAUUAGGGCUUUUCAAUUUCUUUUUGAGUUUCCGUUGCGAUGGUUGAGAGACGGAGUCCUCUGGUGCUCUCAUCCACCAGAGCCACACUCCGUUCAGUCCUGAAUUCGUUUCGACCCGACGAGAUUCCGGGAAGACCCGAUUCGAUACGGCGGAGCGUUAGGUUGCCAGCUGGCGUGCUCAGAUGGAAACGAGACGGAGUAAAUGAUUCAAAGUUUGAUUCUUUAGAUGACUCUUCACUGGUCGGACUCUCGACUCAAUUGCUCAAGAGACUAUCCAUCAACUCUGGCUCUUUCGUAAGUCUUUAGUGUAAAAAAAUGGAUCUUUUAUUGUAAAAAUGGGUGCUUUAUUGUAAAAAUGGAUGCUUUAUUGUGAGUUUUGAUGUUAACAUUUGAGUAUUUUUAUAUUGCAAGGUUGUUAUCAACAACAUCGACAUAGGCAUUCAACGGGUUGCGCAAGUUGUUGUACUUGAUCCUCCCAAUAAGACGCUGGAAGAUUCAUCUGUCACUAGCUUACCAGUUUCGGACUCUCUUCACACAAUGCUUGUCUUUCCCACUUUUGAUACGAUGAGUCAACAGUUACUAGACCAAGAGGUUGCUUACUUGUCUCCUAUGUUAGCUUUUAAUCUUAGCUUGCACAUGUCUUGCCUGAAGUCCCUAGUACAUCGAGGGAACGAGGUCUUGGAGAAGUACUUUGUUGCUAAAUUCGAUGAAGAGUCGGCGUCGGUGGCGGGUGAGUCAAAGAUUGGUUUGGAUUUGGAACCUGUGUCCGAAGUUCCAGGGUAUGCGUCACAUCUAAGGGUUUCUUUUGUAAAGAUCCCGGAGUGUGGUACCAUUCAGUCAUUGGUAGUUAGUUCCUCGUUUGAAGAUGAAGAGAGACAAGGGUUGAUAGAUUCCGCAUUGAACAAGUAUUUUGGAACUGAUAGAGUACUCUCAAGAGGCGAUGUGUUUCGAGUUUGCACUGAGUGGAACUGUGGUUCAAGCAUUUGUGUUCAAUGUGGUCAAGGGUUAGGCUCCAAAGAAGAGGACUUUAUCUAUUUCAAGGUUGUUGCGAUGGAACCUUCUGAUGAGAGGUUUCUUCGAGUCCAUCACUCACAAACCGCUCCUCUUCAAGUAAGGAACCAACUAGGUUCGGUGCUCAGAAGAGCCGGAGCUAUAUGGAUUUAAGAGGCGCCUUAAUCGCAAUUAAGCGCGUAAUGUUUUUACUUAUAUAUUUCUAGUAUAGAAUAUGAUCAGUGUUUGAAACAUACUAUAUCUAGUGUUAAAAUAAAAAGAUUAUUGUCGUUUUUUCUAAAAAAAUACAUAAAAUGAAAAAUAAUUCGAUUCAAUUCGCUUGUGUAAUGCAAUAGCAAUUGUUAAGAAAUAAAAUCGUCUUUAAGUUUCAAAAAAAAAAAGAAAAGAUCGUCUUUGCAUAGUAAGUACUUACCUGGAAACAUAUAACUGGAAGAAAGAAUCUAAAUACAUUAUUGAAAAGUUGAUACAAGUCAAUAGCAUUGACCAAAAAAAAUAUAGUUAUUUUUGGGUAAAAUAUAUUUUUAACGCCGUCAGCAAAAUACUAAACCUUAAACCAUUGGAUAAUCCAUAAAACUUGGAUAAAUCCUAAACCCUAAAUCAAAAACAAUAAACAUUAAAUCUUGAAAACACUUAACACUUAGACCCUUGGAUUUAGUAUUUUUAAGAUUUAAUGUUUAGUCUUUUUGAUUUAGGAUUUAGAAUUUGUCCAAGAAUUUAAGGUUUAUCCAAGGGUUUAGGCUUUAUCCAAGGGUUUAGAGUUUAAGAUUUAAUGUUUUGACGAUGGUGUUAAAAAUAUUUUUAAAAAUAACUUCUUUUUUUGUAACUAGUACUAUUUUUAUUUAUUUUUACUUUAUUAUUUUUAAAUCAUGAUAAAAUUGAUAAUAUUUUAUUUUCUUUUUUAAAAAAUACUAAAUAUGAAAUAAUUAAUCUCUAUUAGUCGGUGAACUCUAGGAAGUGAACCCAAGAAUAACUCAAAAAAUAAAAUACAAGUCAAUAGCAAAGACUGGACAAAACACGAUCGCUCACAUUUCACAAACACACACUAUAUAUAGCUAUACAUACACACACUAUCACAAAUCAAACUCCCCAACCAAAAAAUAAUAAUUAUUCACUAUGCAAAUAAAUCAAAAUAUUGAAGUUUGAAGACUCUUGUUUUUUAAAUCAAGAAACCGAGUGUCGUCUUUUUCUCUGAAACAAGAAACGGCUCUCAGUACUUGCCUUUCCCUUCAAAGAAGGUUUAAGACUAGCGAAGCUGAAAAGAGAAUUGAGUUUGCUUAUCUUUUUAGCAAAAGACUUGAAAAGCUUAGUCCCUGGAUUAGUUUUAACGAGUUCUUGUCUAAUAGAGAUGUGAUCUUUC